UUGAAAGGCUUUUUACUCUUACUGAAACUAACGAUUUGAUUCAACAUUUAAUGCUAGACUUUUAGCCCCUUUAUAGAUUCUGGUGGAAAAGAGACGGCUUAUCGGAUGGGCAAGAAAGACCUUCAAGACCCUCUUCUCCUGGUUUCUCUCAGGCUCAGGAAACUAAGAAGUCUCUGUUUUCUGCAAUUAUCUCUACCUUAGUCCCACAUAGUUAAGGAUUAAUAUGGUUUAGUGGUAUCUCCACCUAAAUCUCAUCUUGAAUUCCCACAUGUUGUGGGAGGGGCCUUGUGGGAGGUAAUUGAAUUAUGGGGCUGGGUCUUUCCCAUGCUGUUCUCAGGAUAGUGAAUAGGUCUCAUGAGAUCUAAUGGUUUUAAAAAUGGUAAUUUCCCUGCACAAACCCUUUUCUCUUGUCUGCCACCGUGUGAGACGCACCUUUCACCUUCUACCAUCAUUGUGAGGCCUCCCCAGCCGUGUGGAACUCACCAGUAGGAGUGCCUUCUGAAGAGAGUAAGUCCAGUUCACUAUUGAAUCUGCAUUCAAAGAUGCCAGUAAGCAGGUCACCAGCUUGAACAGACCCUUCUUGCUCUGUCCCAAGGACAAAGAAGAUGGCUGGUGCGUUCCCUUCUGUGAAGAAUUUGCUGGCAUUUGAAAGAAACGGUCAGUAGAAGAUUCGCUGGAUAGUGAAAUUCUUUGCGCCUGGGAUGUGUUCAGUCUGUUAUUCUGCUGCACCAGGAAAGAAGGUCCAGUGUCUUAUUUCAUUCUGGAGCUUUUUGAAACUUUUUACUCUGUACUUUAAUUUUGGCAACCUUGGACUGAUGGGGUUUGUAGAUAUUAAUUAUCAAAUUGUUAUGUAUUCGCUGAUAUUCUUUCAAUUCAAUAAGUAUUUUAAAUCCCUUGUGGUGUCUGUUGAAUACGUUACCAGGAAACUGAAAUAAUAUGUUCAGUCUUCCUUUUUUUUCCUCCACAAAAUAGAAACAAGAUAACUAUACAUAGCUGAUAGUUAUUUUCUCUCAGAAAUUCAAAUAUAUUAUUUUUAAGUGCUUCUGUAAAUAUUUGAACUGAAUGCAAUUUAAAAAAUAAAAAUCUAAAGACCAAUACAAUUUUAUCUCAUAAGAUUUUGAUUUUUGACCUUUAAGUCAAGAAUUAAUAUCUCUAUAUUAGCUGCAAAUGGAUUUAAUUACCUAUAUCUGAUUCCAUGUUAAUGAUAUUAAACCCAACAUAGAAAUAUUGCAAUUAUGGGUGUGGUUUUUAACCUAAGUAUUCCCAGGAAUAUUUGGGACCAGGCAGAAUAUGGAAAUGUUAAAGGUUAUAGCUCAGGUGCUAAAGGUGAGCCUAUAAUGAACUAAAUCAAAGUUCAAUGAAAUAAAUUCAAGAUAUUUAUUGAUGUUUAUUAGUAACCCUAAUGGAUCCACUUUACUUACUUGCAGGAUAAUUGGAGUAUAGUAGUGUAAGCAGAGGUUUCAGUAGAAGGAAGCAGCCUAUUGUUAAAGACCAGUUGUUCACUUUGCUGAUGGUUAAACACUGCUCUAAUAUAAAGGCAAAAAAUAUUUGCUGUGUUUUCCUUUUUUCUGUUUAGGCUUAAAGGAAACAUAAGUAGCUGUAGUAUUGUGAUAGAGAACACACCUAAAGUCAUCAGUUUUAGGUAAAAGGCUAG